rnacentral:misc_RNA from 1 species
UAUGAAGAACGUAGCGAAAUGCGAUACGUAAUGUGAAUUGCAGAAUUCAGUGAAUCAUCGAAUCUUUGAACGCACAUUGCGCCUGCCAGCACUCUGGCAGGCAUGCCUGUUCGAGCGUCAUUUCAACCAUCAAGCCCUAGGCUUGCGUUGGAGCCCUGCGGCUGCCGCAGGCCCCUAAAAGCAGUGGCGGGCUCGCUAUCACACCGAGUGCAGUAGAUUACUCUUCGCUCAGGGCGUGUGGCGGGUUCCAGCCGUGAAACCCCCUACUUCUCAAGGUUGACCUCGGAUCAGGUAGGAAUACCCGCUGAACUUAAGCAUAUCAAUAAGCGGAGGA